rnacentral:rRNA from 1 species
UACGUAGGGUGCGAGCGUUGUCCGGAAUUAUUGGGCGUAAAGAGCUCGUAGGCGGCUCGGUAAGUCAGGUGUCAAAUCCUCAGGCUCAACCUGGGGCUCCACCUGAUACUGCUGUGGCUAGAGUCCGGUAGGGGAGCGUGGAAUUCCUGGUGUAGCGGUGAAAUGCGUUGAUAUCAUCAGGAAUACCGGAGGCGAAGGCGGCUCACUGGGGGUUUUCUGACGCUGAGGAACGAAAGCCAGGGGAGCGAACGGG